GACGAACGCUGGCGGCGUGCCUAAUACAUGCAAGUCGAGCGAACAGUUCAGGAGCUUGCUCGGCCGACGUUAGAGGCGGACGGGAGAGUAACACGUGGACGACCUAACUAUAAGACUGGGAUACUAAUGCGAAAUCUGCGCUACUACCGGAUAAUAUAUUGAACUUCAUGCUUCCAUCGUCAAAGACGGUAUUGCUGUCACUUAUUGAUGCACCAGCGCCGCAUUAGGUAGUUGGUAAGGGAACGGCUUACCAAGCCAGCGAAGCGUAACGGACCUGAAAGGGUGGACGGCCACACUGUAACUGAGCAACGGUCGAGACUCCGACGGGGGGAAGCGGUAGGGAAUCUUCCGGAAGGGAGGAAUGCGGAACGGUGCAACGCCGCGGAAGGGAUGAAGGUGUUCGGAUCGUAAAACGCUGUUAGUAGGAAGAAAGAAAUGUUUAAUUAACGGUGCACAUCUUGACGGUACCUGAACAGAAAGCCACGGCUAACUACGUG
rnacentral:rRNA from 1 species